rnacentral:rRNA from 1 species
GAUGAACGCUAGCGGCAGGCCUAAUACAUGCAAGUCGAACGGGUGUAGCAAUACAUCAGUGGCAGACGGGUGAGUAACUCGUGGGAACCUUCCUAGGGGUACGGAACAACUCAGGGAAACUUGAGCUAAUACCGUAUACGUCCGUGAGGAGAAAGAUUUAUCGCCCUUAGACGGGCCCGCGUCGGAUUAGCUAGUUGGUGGGGUAACGGCCUACCAAGGCGACGAUCCGUAGCUGAUCUUAGAGGAUGAUCAGCCACACUGGGACUGAGAAACGGCCCAGACUCCUACGGGAGGCAGCAGUGGGGAAUCUUGGACAAUGGGCGCAAGCCUGAUCCAGCCAUGCCGCGUGAGUGAAGAAGGUCUUCGGAUUGUAAAGCUCUUUUGCCAGGGACGAUAAUGACGGUACCUGGAGAAUAAGCCCCGGCAAACUUCGUGCCAGCCGCCGCCGUAA